GCAUUAAAAGUUGUACAAAAGCUUAUUUGAUUUGUACAUUAUAUUUGACCUUGAAUAUGAUUUCUUUUCCUUUUUCUACUAACACGUGUACUGCCUCUUUUCCUAGCAAACCACGUGUAUCCAUUACAUAGAAAAUAAACGGCUAUAUCAAAACUCAAUUUUCAUACUAGUUCUCUACUGAGAAAAUUUCUCUUUCUUCUUCACUCUCCAAUGGUCUUUAAUCCCUUGCCAUGGCUAAAAGCAACAAUUGCGGCUGUUCAAUUCCCAGGUAGUGUCACUACUAUGGCCUGCGAGAUUCUAUUGGUUUUGUUCAAGCAACGCUUGCGGUUGUUCAUUCCCAGCUAGAUACUUGAUCACUGGAAUUUGGAUCCUCAAAGAUUGGCCUAUACACAAAAAGACUUAGCGGCUACUUUACUCUUUGGAAGGGUUGAAGUUGAGGUUCCUACUCAAUUUCAAGCAUGGGGUUCAACAGCUCCUAAAAGUAGCUUGGAGGAAGCAAUUUUUUUGUUGUUCGUACUUAUGAGCAAAAUGCUAAAUGGUCAAAUAGAUUGGGAUUCUGAAGUUAUGAGGCAUUUGACGUUCGCGCUGAUAAUUUCUAGCAACUUUGUGUCUGUUGCAGAUCAUAUUGAGUAGGUUAUUCUCGCAAUUUAUACCUGAGCAGAAAGGUGGUAUCUACUUUCUCUUUGUUAUAGUGCGCCUUGCACUACUUCAAGUUGCAUACUACAGGCGUGUAAGGUGGUUACUUAUUACUAGCAGCGAAAGUAGUUUGACUAUUGUCAUCAAUAUAUUACCGUAGUGCUCAUGGUUUUUGAGAGUAUUGUGAUUCAUGAGCGACUUGAAUUGUGUAAAACAGGCCUUGCUCUAACUUCUAUUGCCAGUCGAGUGCCAAGUCAUCAUGGUCAUUAUCAUCAUCAUCCUAGAGCUCGUACUUCCCCAUCUCUUGUAGUGGACUCAGGACAAAAUGUGAACCAAAGGCAAAACAUGAAAGGAGAAUAGGAUGAAGGACAAUGUUGUUGUGUUGGUGAAACAAACUAUCAAGUGUAACAGAUGUUCCACCUUCAUGUGUACUUAAUGCAUAAUGUAUAUAUAAAGCAUGUGUUGUGCAUUUAAAUCGGGUUAUAGUUUUCGGUUUAUAUGUCAUAAUGUUGACUUGUUUCAUAGAUGUCUAGAACUGUCUCAUGGACCCCCUCAUCCUUAUUAUUGACAUUGUGGUUCCAUGUUUUCUCUAACCUUUGGUACCAAAGUGCAGAACCUCAAGGGGUUGUUUGGUUCUCCGAUAAGUUACAUAGUGUUUAAGGUUGGGAGACUGUAAUAUGAUGAUUACUAUGAUUACUAGACUUAAUUAAUCUUGACGUUCAUUAUG